rnacentral:siRNA from 1 species
AGAUUUUGUGCCAACAAUCUC